rnacentral:rRNA from 1 species
GACGAACGCUGGCGGCGUGCUAAUACAUGCAAGUAGAACGCUGAAGAGAGGAGCUUGCUCUUCUUGGAUGAGUUGCGAACGGGUGAGUAACGCGUAGGUAACCUGCCUUGUAGCGGGGGAUAACUAUUGGAAACGAUAGCUAAUACCGCAUAACAAUGGGUGACACAUGUCAUUUAUUUGAAAGGGGCAAUUGCUCCACUACAAGAUGGACCUGCGUUGUAUUAGCUAGUAGGUGAGGUAACGGCUCACCUAGGCGACGAUACAUAGCCGACCUGAGAGGGUGAUCGGCCACACUGGGACUGAGACACGGCCCAGACUCCUACGGGAGGCAGCAGUAGGGAAUCUUCGGCAAUGGGGGCAACCCUGACCGAGCAACGCCGCGUGAGUGAAGAAGGUUUUCGGAUUGUAAAGCUCUGUUGUAAGUCAAGAACGAGUGUGAGAGUGGAAAGUUCACACUGUGACGGUAGCUUACCAGAAAGGGACGGCUAACUACGUGCCAGCAGCCGCGGUAAUACGUAGGUCCCGAGCGUUGUCCGGAUUUAUUGGGCGUAAAGCGAGCGCAGGCGGUUUGAUAAGUCUGAAGUUAAAGGCUGUAGCUCAACCAUAGUUCGCUUUGGAAACUGUCAAACUUGAGUGCAGAAGGGGAGAGUGGAAUUCCAUGUGUAGCGGUGAAAUGCGUAGAUAUAUGGAGGAACACCGGUGGCGAAAGCGGCUCUCUGGUCUGUAACUGACGCUGAGGCUCGAAAGCGUGGGGAGCGAACAGGAUUAGAUACCCUGGUAGUCCACGCCGUAAACGAUGAGUGCUAGGUGUUGGAUCCUUUCNCGGGAUUCAGUGCCGCAGCUAACGCAUUAAGCACUCCGCCUGGGAGUACG